rnacentral:rRNA from 1 species
AUUGAACGCUGGCGGCAGGCCUAACACAUGCAAGUCGAGCGGAUGAAGGGAGCUUGCUCCUGGAUUCAGCGGCGGACGGGUGAGUAAUGCCUAGGAAUCUGCCUGGUAGUGGGGUAUAACGUCCGGAAACGGGCGCUAAUACCGCAUACGUCCUGAGGGAGAAAGUGGGGGAUCUUCGGACCUCACGCUAUCAGAUGAGCCUAGGUCGGAUUAGCUAGUUGGUGGGGUAAAGGCCUACCAAGGCGACGAUCCGUAACUGGUCUGAGAGGAUGAUCAGUCACACUGGAACUGAGACACGGUCCAGACUACUACGGGAGGCAGCAGUGGGGAAUAUUGGACAAUGGGCGAAAGCAUGAUCCAGCCAUGCCGCGUGUGUGAAGAAGGUCUUCGGAUUGGAAAGCACGUUAAGUUGGGAGGAAGGGCAGUAAGUUAAUACCUUGCUGUUUUGACGUUACCAACAGAAUAAGCACCGGCUAACUUCGUG